UACGUAGGGUGCGAGCGUUAAUCGGAAUUACUGGGCGUAAAGCGUGCGCAGGCGGUUUUGUAAGCCAGAUGUGAAAUCCCCGGGCUUAACCUGGGAAUGGCAUUUGGGACUGCAAGGCUGGAGUUUGGCAGAGGAGACUGGAAUUCCUGGUGUAGCAGUGAAAUGCGUAGAUAUCAGGAGGAAUACCGAUGGCGAAGGCAGGUCUCUGGGCUGUAACUGACGCUCAUGCACGAAAGCGUGGGGAGCAAACAGG
rnacentral:rRNA from 1 species